rnacentral:rRNA from 1 species
GACGAACGCUGGCGGCGUGCUUAACACAUGCAAGUCGAACGGAAAGGCCCUGCUUUUGUGGUGUGCUCGAGUGGCGAACGGGUGCGUAACACGUGAGUAACCUGCUCUUGACUUUGGGAUAACUUCAGGAAACUGGGGCUAAUAUCGGAUAGGAGCUCCUGCUCCAUGGUGAGGGUUGGAAAGUUUCGGCGGUGGGGGAUGGACUCGCGGGUUAACAGCUUGCUGGUGGGGUAGUGGCUUACCAAGGCUUUCACGGGUAGCCGGCCUGAGAGGGUGAGCGGCCGCAUAGGGACCGAGGUGCGGCAGAAGUGGGUACGAGAGGAAGCAGUGGGGAAUAUUGCACAAUGGGCGGAAGCCUGAUGCAGCAGCGCCGCGUGUGGGAAAGCGGCUUUCGGGGUGUAGACCGCUUUCGCCUGUGACGAAGGGUGUGUGGCGGUAAUGGGUAGAGAAACACCGGCUUACUACGGG